GAGAGGACCGGAGUGGACGAACCUCUGGUGUUCGGGUUGUCACGCCAGUGGCAUUGCCCGGUAGCUACGUUCGGAAUCGAUAACCGCUGAAAGCAUCUAAGCGGGAAGCGAGCCUCAAGAUAAGCUGUCACUAGCACUUAGAGUGCUCUGAAGGGUUGUUGGAGACUACAACGUUGAUAGGCGGGGUGUGGAAGCGUAGUAAUGCGUUGAGCUAACCCGUACUAAUUGCCCGUGAGACUUAACCAUACAACACCCAAGGUGUUUGG
rnacentral:rRNA from 1 species